AUGUAUCAGAUGAGAAAGUUGUGGUGUGCUCCAUAUCUUGAGGGGCGUUGUUUCCUAGGAUUGAGCAGCAAUCAGAGGAGUGAGAGCUUGAACUCUGUGCUACAUACGCAUCUUGAGGGUAAGAUGUCGUUGUUUGAAAUGCUAGAGCACUAUGAGCGUUGCCUUGCGUCGCGACGGAUUAACGAAGCUCUCCAAGACGUCGAAGCCUUGCAGUCCGUUCCAUUUACAGAGGAAAAUGCUUCGCCGCUUGAGAAACACGCCACAACAGUUUUCACACCUAGUGUCUUUAAGAUGGUCUUAUGGAGCAUAGAUGCUGUCAGCAAAUGUCAGAUCAGAGAGAUACUAGAUGGAUCAGAAGAUUCCACUUAUGUUGUGUCCAAGCAGAAAAGAAUGGAUAAAAAGUUUGGAGUGUGCAUUGAAGAGCAAGGAGGUCUUUUGCACAGGGUGGACUAUGAGUGCAAAAUGUGCAUACACACCUACCAGAAAAAACCAUAUGUAUGA
rnacentral:rRNA from 1 species